CCUGGCUAAUUUUUGUAUUUUUAGUAGAUAUGGGGUUUCACCAUAUUGGCCAGGCUGGUCUCAAACUUUUGACCUCAGGUGAUCCACCCGCCUCAGCCUCCCAAAGUGCUGGGAUUACAGGCGUGAGCCACCGCGCCCGGCCGAGAUAGUUAUAUUUUCAUUCCCACUUUAUAGAGAAACUGAGGCUCAGUUCACACAAUAAGUUGCAGAUCUUGCUAAGUGUUGGGAACACAGAGACAGUAAAUUCAAGUUCGUCCUCAACGUUCUUGGGAAGGAGUUGGGUCUCCUGACUUCUAGGUCAUAUUUUAGUAACAAGGCUUCACAGAGCACAGGGAAUCAUUUAUUACCUUAUUUAUUCCUCCAAACAACCCUAUGAAGUAUUAUUUCCCCCACUGUACAGCUGACAGAACAAGAGAAGACUCUGAGUUUAGGGGACUUCAACCAGGACACACCAUCAGUCUCCAGAGUCCAGGCUCUGAAACACACCACGGCCAAACCUGUCCUCGCCUGUCAUUCCUCCCUUGUCAGGAGGAUAUAGAACCCAGUGAUUAAGGGUGUGGGCGGGCGCUGGGGCCAGGCUGCUCCCUGCAGAACCUUGGGCAACGCUCUUUGAACCUCAGUUUGAGCCUCAGUUUCCUCAUCUUUAAAAAAGGGGUGGUGGGGGGCAAAAGUAUUGUCUUCUUCACGGGUUCGGUGAGGAUGAAAUGAAACAAUCCAUGUAAAGUUCUCAGCAUGAAACCAGCAUCUGCACCUAUACAAGCAAACGUAAAAAGUGGGCAACGGUGCUCGGUGUUCAUCCAUCGGCACCGCGGGCCCCUGACGCUGCCUCUCCCCACAGCUGCCCCGUCAGCAACCGGCUGCUCCAGGGCCUGCGGGCCAACGGGGCCUCUCUGGAGGUGACCUUGGCCUUCAACCUGAUCCGCUUCUCGACCAGCGAUACACUGUACCUGCACGGCCGAGUGACCCUGUGUGACACGCGGGCAAGACGCCCAUGCCAACCAGUGAGUGGGCAGCCCCGGGACCUCCUGCGCAGCCGCCGCAGCCUUGCCUGCAAAGCAGUUCCUGCCGGGCAGGCUGGGUAGCCGGACUCCCAGCUGCGCCGUCUUCACGGAAGCGGUGCUGAUGCGGGACCUGGGGGACUGCGGUGCUGGGGACUGGCCAGUCCUACCGGGGGCGGGGCUUGUGGAAGACUGGGCGGGAUUUUGAAGACCUAGGUCUUGUGGAUGGUGAACUCACUUGGGGCGGGGAGGGAGGUGGGGCUACCCUGGGGUCUUGGGCAAAGUCCUCGCCUGGCCGGCUUCGCUACCCUUGUGCUUGCGUUGCCCACAAGCUUGUAGUCAGAAGAACUCGCCUGGGAGGGAUCGCUCCUGGGAGAUCCGAACGCGGGAGGGCCUGGAGCGCGGCGGCAGCUGGAUAGCAUUCGGGCCCAUCCGAAUAAGCGGAGCCUGGAUGGCCAUCUUUCUUCUGAUAGCAAUAAGCUGGAUGCUGGGAUAGAAGCCUGAUACCUCCUCCAACCCUAGUCCUUGGCCUCUAGUUUACUCGCCUGAGGCAAGGGUAGAGUGGAGGAAGAUUUAGGGAAAGCAAGUAGUCCGUUUUAUUGUUACGGACCAGAGAGGUUGGGGGUGCAGAUGAAACCAACAUCUGGUUGGCCGGGCACGGUGGCUCACACCUGUAAUCCCAGCACUUUGGGAGGCCGAGGCGGGCGGAUCAUGAAGUCAGGAGAUCGAGACCAUCCUAGCUAACACGGUGAAACCCCGUCUCUACUAAAAACACAAAAAAUUUGCCGGGCGUGGUGGCGGGAGCCUGUAGUCUCAGUUACUCAGGAGGCUGAGACAGGAGAAUGGCAUGAACCCGGGAGGCAGAGGUUGCAGUGAGCCGAGAUCGCGCCACUGCACUCCAGCCUGGGUGACAGAGCGAGACUCCAUCUCAAAAAAAAUAAAUAAAUAAAAAUAAAAAAAAUAAAAAAUAAAAAAUUCAUUUGCAGGAACAUUUUGUUGUCUUUAAUGCCUUAACAGCUCCUGAAAAAAAUCAUGUCAAAUGAUCAAUCCAUGUUAUUUUUUCAUGCACAUCAAAGUCACACAUUUAUUAAAUCAGCAAUAAAUUACAUUUCAUUGUGAAUUCAUAUUGACUUUAUACGUCUGUAGUAGACUUUAAACAGUCCUGCUAUCAAAGGCAUUAGCCCUUGCCGUUAUUUAAAAUGUAUCCUGGCCAGGCACUGUGGCUCACGCUUGUAAUCCCCACAUUUUGGGAUGUUGGGGUGGGCGGAUCACCUGAGGUUAGGCAUGCAA
rnacentral:lncRNA from 1 species